UACGUAGGGGGCAAGCGUUAUCCGGAUUUACUGGGUGUAAAGGGGGCGCAGACGGCAGCGCAAGCCAGGAGUGAAAACCAUGGGCUCAACCUGUGGCCUGCAUUUGAAACUGUUUUUCUUGAGUACUGGAGAGGCAGACGGAAUUCCUAGUGUAGCGGUGAAAUGCGUAGAUAUAUGGAGGAACACCGGUGGCGAAAGCGGCUCUCUGGCCUGUAACUGACACUGAGGCUCGAAAGCGUGGGGAGCAAACAGG
rnacentral:rRNA from 1 species